GAUGAACGCUGGCGGCGUGCCUAAUACAUGCAAGUCGAGCGAACAGACGAGGAGCUUGCUCCUCUGAAGUUAGCGGCGGACGGGUGAGUAACACGUGGAUAACCUACCUUAAAGACUGGGAUAACUUCGGGAAACCGGAGCUAAUACCGGAUAAUAUAUUGAACCGCAUGGUUCAAUAGUGAAAGACGGUUUUGCUGUCACUUAUAGAUGGAUCCGCGCCGCAUUAGCUAGUUGGUAAGGUAACGGCUUACCAAGGCGACGAUGCGUAGCCGACCUGAGAGGGUGAUCGGCCACACUGGAACUGAGACACGGUCCAGACUCCUACGGGAGGCAGCAGUAGGGAAUCUUCCGCAAUGGGCGAAAGCCUGACGGAGCAACGCCGCGUGAGUGAUGAAGGUCUUCGGAUCGUAAAACUCUGUUAUUAGGGAAGAACAAAUGUGUAAGUAACUAUGCACGUCUUGACGGUACCUAAUCAGAAAGCCACGGCUAACUACGUG
rnacentral:rRNA from 1 species